rnacentral:rRNA from 1 species
GACGAACGCUGGCGGCGUGCCUAACACAUGCAAGUCAACUUGACUGAAGGAGCAAUCUGACAGUAGAGUGGCGCAAGGGUGCGUAACGCGUAAGUAACUUGCCCAAGGUAAGGAAUAACGUCGAGAAAUCGGCGCUAAUACCUCAUAAUGCAGCGGAUCCGCAUGGAUAUGUUGUUAAAGGUUUACCGCCUUGGGAUAGGCUUGCGUCUGAUUAGCUAGUUGGUGUGGUAACGGCACACCAAGGCUACGAUCAGUAACUGGUCUGAGAGGAUGAUCAGUCACACUGGAACUGAGACACGGUCCAGACUCCUACGGGAGGCAGCAGUGAGGAAUAUUGGGCAAUGCUCGAAAGAGUGACCCAGCAACGCCGCGUGGAGGAUGAAGGUAUUCUAUAUCGUAAACUCCCGUGAGAGCAGACGAAAGACAGAUUAUUAAUCUGGAUGACUGUAUGCUCAGAGGAAGCCCCGGCUAACUACGU